AUGAUAUGCAUUCUGUUGUGUUCAAAGGAUAUAUAUGAAAUGAAAACAAGAGUAGGAGUAAAGCAGCAAAUUUUUGGAGCCGCUGAAACACUCUCCUGCCCUGAAAACAAGUUGGAGCCGCUGAAACACUCUCCUUCCCGGAAAUCGUCGCCGGAGUUUCUCCUCCACCGCCACCACAAAUUCGUCCAGCUGAAAAGUAUAUUGUAG